GAAUUACGUGCAUGGAAAUGGCAAUAGAAAUGGCAUGCCGCUGUCUGUUCGGUUCUCAUAUGAUUCCACCAUCAGUACAUAAUGUGGCCUUUAACAAGCCUUUAUUUAUUGCCUUCUAAUAAGUGAACCGCAUAAGUGAAUACACUCUGCCGCUGCAACAUCAGGUGCUCCUCCUUCAGACUUUAAGAAGUCUUCCGUCGGACAAUGCGCUGCGUGAUGCCGUUAGUCUGCAUUAUCGAAAUAAUGUUGCCGGUGAACCCAUUGAAUUCGAAAUCUUUGUAAGUCCAAUAGUCGGCCAACACAUUCAAGAAAGGAAAAUGAAGGGCGAAAGCAAAAGGACUUGCCGACAUCUUUGAACCAAAAGCUUAUUUGUCCUACCAAACUGAUGGGAAUGCAAGAAUGGACGCGCUGUCGCAGUCCAAUUAUAAAGCAGGCCUCGGCUCUCAAUUAUAUCAGAGAAUAUAUAUAAGAUUGUCUUUGCCGCUAUUUGAUCAAAGAUUUAAAAAUCUAAUUUCAUUUUGCCCAAAGUUUAUGUUCAUAUGUGUUUGCAGUUUCUUUCCAAUGCACCAUCUAGUUCAAAUUGCCCUGUUUUGCCCCCAUGAAGUUUGAGAUAGUAUCUCAAUAUAAUCUCAAUAGGAGGGUAACCAGUGACGGGGUCUAGCCGUUGCUAGGGACGUCAACUGUCAUUGUCUGACAACCCUAAUUGAGGGUGGGGGAGGGGGAGGAGUGGCCGCCAACGAGGCCCCACCACUGAACCCCUUCACUGGCCUUUUCCUUUCUACAAUUUUUUUAUUACUAAUUCGAGCCGGGGUGGCCUCCACUAUCAUAAGCUUCUGCUCCGAGCAGUCGCCCAUGCGUUGCGUUGGGUCUCCAUUAAAAAACUUACACUGAUCUGUUUUAAUAAAAGAAGCGGUUUCUGAGCGGUGUCUCCUUGGAAGAUAAUAAAAGAGAGCAGUUCAACAAAAUUGAAUAAGUGAAUAAUCUUUCUUUAUGUAUUCGUAUAGAAUAUAUUCAUGGAGGUGCACCUUUCUCAUCUUAUGUAUGAGUAAAUUAUUGGAACUUACGUUAAAGAGGAUGUGACGCGGUGACACACGCUCUCACCUGAUAAACAAGAGGUUUGAAGAUAUUAUAUGAGACUGCCCGUGUCCCUUUAUUAGA